UUGUACGACUCGACAACAUUGGCAUUGUCUACUGUCGUGCAUAUAUAAGUAAACGACCAAAAUCUUCGAAAACUAUCCAAAAAACUCAAUGGUUAAUUUGU